AUGAGACCGUUGGGACUUCUCCUGUGCCUGGUGACAGCUCCUCAAUAUGUCCUGUCCCAGGUGCAGCUGCAGGAGUCAGGACCUGGCCUGGUGAAGCCCUCAGAAACCUUUUCCCUCACCUGUACAAUUUCUGGUUACUCCAUAACCAGUGGGUACUGGUGGAACUGGAUCUGCCAGCCCCCAGGGAAGAGCCUGGAGUGGAUGGGGCACAUCAAUUGUUGUGGAAGCACUUACUACAGCCCAUCCUCAAGAGCUGCAUCUCUAUCACCAGAGACAUGUCCAAGAGCCAGUUCUCCAUGCAGAUGAGCUCUGUGACCACAGAGGACACAGCUGUGUAUUACUGUGCAAGAGGCACAGUGAGGGGAGCUCAGUGUGAGCCCAGACACAGACCUCCAAGGCAUGGUCGCUCCUCACCAGCAGGGGACGCUCAGCUCACAGCAAGCACAGCUUCAUUCCCAAUGUUAGGGGUAGACUCACAUGAACUUUUCUUUCUGAAGCUCUGGUUCCUACCCAGCCAGCUCCUACCAUUCACAGUCAGUGAUUCUGAUUCUGAGUCAGUGAGGUCUCUUCAGAUCACUAGAUAG